CCCUUAGACACUCUAGGCGGCACGCGCGCUACAAUGGGUGGAAGAACGUGUUACUGCCUCCGAAAGGAGGGGUGAAUCACGAAUUCUUGCCCGUGAGUGGGAUAGUUUGUUGCAAUUUUCGGACUUGAACUAGGAAUCCCUUGUAAACAUGCUCAAGAAUAGCGUGUUGAAUACGUCCCUGCCGUUUGUACACACCGCCCGUCGUUUCUUCCGACUGAUACUCAUUGUGAGUUGCAAGGACCCUUUAUUGGGAAAUUGCUGCAAAUGCUUUGUAUUGGAGGAAGAAAAAGUCGUAACA
rnacentral:rRNA from 1 species